rnacentral:rRNA from 1 species
AUGCGGUUUCCGAGGCUCUUUGUGAUUUGUGACGACCCGGCUGUUCUUGUUUCUGUGGCUGCUUUGGAUGAGGGAUGGAACAUUGCGUUCCGCCGCUCAUUCGGACCAGCUGAGGUGCAGGAAUGGGCAGACUUGAGGGAAGUAGUCCCUCUUCCUCUGUCCCUGGAUCCUGACACUGUUUCUUGGAGUCUUUCUCCUUCGGGAGGAUCCUCCGUAAGUUCCGCUUAUCAGGCGCUAUGCCGGCUGCCGGUUCUCCAGUGGUUAUCCCCAUUGUGGAAGGCGCAGAUACCCUUGAAGAUCAAGAUUUUCAUGUGGCAGCUUCUCAGAGAUCGUUUACCUUCGGGGACCGAGGUGCUGGAAUGCCAUGGUCCGGGCAAUGGCCUUUGCCCCCUUUGCCUCGUCCCGGAAACGGGAACGCACAUUUUGUUCUCGUGUGUAGCGGCACAUGCACUUUGGUGCUUUGUUUGUGAGGCUCUGGGAGCGGAGUGGGAGGCCCAUGACCUUGCAGAGUUUCUUCUUCUUUCGUUUGGGCGUGUUUGUGUUGUGGUCCCAGCAGUUUCCUUUUAUGAUUAUGGUUGA